rnacentral:piRNA from 1 species
UUUGUACUAGGAAGAUGAUGCUGAGGC